CACCAGGCUCCUCUCACCCAGGCAGCUCCGAUCCAGGAUGGACGUAGGCUAGAAUCUUCCUGAGCCCCAGCUGCAUGCAUGAUCCAGGUCAACGUUGCUCUGAAUGCAAACAACUCACAGUUGCAAACACCAACCCUCACUUCUGAAGGCCACAGAGGAUCGUGAAGCCUUUUUCCGGCCUUCUACCGAAAGUUCUCGCAGAUCCUAGUCCACACAGCAUUCAUCCUUCCCGACUUCGGUGGAUUGGCGGCCCUUUGUCUAUAAUUGCUCUCCAGAGCGCUGGUGUGCACACAUGGGAGACGAACGGCAGCCCCUGCUCUCACCUGUGCUAGGACUGUACGUAUGCAGAAUUGCGAAAGGGUGAGGAAAUGGCACCAGUGCAACUACGACACCAAGGCAAACCAAAGUCCUCCAGAGAAGAGUCCCCGAGAUGCCCCUCCACGUGAGUCAGAAUGACAGCACGGGAGAUCUGUUCAUAAACUGGAACAAAGCUGGACACCUCUGGAAAGGUGAGAAACUGAGUCAGGGCAGCAUCUGGACAAGACACAGGAGAGAGGGCGCUGAUCUGUAAGCUUACUCAGCAGGCUAGUCCUCAAGAUAUCUGAAACGUUUACUACGUCCCCGGUCACGUGACUGGAGUUGGUGCCAACUGGGACGGUCUGUGCUGGAAAAUGAGGGCACCAAGUGCAGCCUGAGACUGCUGACCACAUGCGGAGCCCUUAGCUACUGAAAACACCACACCUGCUCAGGGCUCAGGCUGGCCCUAGCCAUGGGAUGACCUGCUUCCUCCUCAGGGUUGGUUGUUGAGGCUCAGACAAUAACUUCAAGAUUGGCAUGGCUUAGAGGAAGUAUAUCCACACCAAGGCUGUGUCACAGGAGAAUCCGUGACAUGCCUAGCUUGUGGAACACACACCCACAUAUAAACCUCACCAUGGCAGGAAAUGAUAAGUUGGAGAAUAGCGCUACAGGACUCAUUUUUAUUAAUUUGUUAAUUUUAUUAAUGUGUGUGUGUGUGUGCGCACACGCGCGCACACGCGCGUGCGUACACACACACACAUGCCAGCCAGAAGAGGGCAACAGAUCCAUGGGAGCCGGAGUUACAGGUGGCUGUGAGCUGCCUGAUAUGGGUGCUGAGAACUGAACUCAAGGCCUCUGGAAAGCAGUAAGCUCUCUUUACUGUUGAGCCAUCUCGCCAGCUCUUACAAGAUGUAUUUUAAACAUAAAUGUUUUGUAAAAGAACAAUCAAAAUGAUAAAAGUUUUAUGUACUCUGAAAAACGUUAAGCCUAAUUUGUAAGUAACUGAAAAAAAUGUUACCUACAACACAGCCCCUCUGUGCCAGCCCAGCUAUUUCUAUUCUGGUCAUCUUCCCACGCUCACACAUCUGCAUUUGGGAAUUAAAAAAGUCAACAACAGUAACUGUCCUUGGAAAGCCCCUGCAGGCAGUGACUGCUGCCUGGGUGGAGGUCCUGCCAAGCCGCAGCUGAGCUGGGGCACAGCUGCCCACUUCCCUUCCUUCGCUGCAUUUUCCAGCCAUUCAGAAACAGGCAGGAACUAGAGGGUGCCUUAAGUUCAGCUGACCCCACCGCAGUGCAUAGGACUUGCUGAGAAGAACACAAAUAACGACUUUCCCUUUGAAGACAUUCCCACAGCUCUGGCUCUGUGCCCCGUCACACCUGGGACCUCUGUUUACAAGCCCAUGAUCUGCAAGUGCAAUUUCCUUUGGUGACCUCAUCUGGAAUCUCUCUCAGCCACAUGACUGCUGUCCAGGACAGCCCCACCCUCCCCUUAACGUUCUCCUAGGAGGUUGCAAUCCUGUGGUCAUAGCCUCUACCUUCCUAACACGAAUGUGACAAUCAUCGUUCAGGCAGAUUCUGCCAAGGCACACCGUUGCUACUAUGUCAUACUGCAGAGCCAGCGGUUCCCUGGCCAUAGGACAACUCCCAUUUCCUACUCUCUUUUCACUCUAAGGCUUCUGUGCCUUAUGUCAAGCCCUCAGUUUUAUGCUCCGCUUUUAUCUCCUCAGCAGGGCAUUCUAUAGAAGGACGCAGAGCCGGACCCUGCAGCUGCCUCCUCUAGCAGGAAAGCCAGCUCCUGUUUCUCCCAAAGGCAGAUGUGAUCAGAAAGUGAAACAGAUGUAUUUUACUUUAUAUUGAUGUGCCUGUGUGUGCAGGUGCUUAUGAGGGUAUCAGACCCGCUGGAGCCAGAACUACAGGUGGCUGUGAGCUGCUUGAGGAGGGUGCUGGUGUAAACACUGGGUCUCCAGCCUCCAUCUUUGGAGGCCCUGUCCCUGUGCCCCUUGAAUCUUGACCCCUCCCCAGGAAAUGUCAAGACUACUCCCUCAGGCUAUUUAAACUGCUCCCCCUAAAAAUAAACACGUGGCUUUCCCCCUUUCCUCCAGUGGUCGUGUGUUGGCGCUUUCAGGUUCCCCUCGGGCCACCUGAGAGCGCGGGAGUCCAAUUAAACCUGGAUAUCUUUUAAUUUGGUCUGAUUGGGAUUAUUUUGGGUCGGCAGAGAGCUCGUGUUAGAAAAUAUUCCUAACAGCUGGGAGCUGAACUCAGGCCCUCUGCAGGAGCAGCGUGUGCUUUUAAUCUUGGAGCCAUCUCUUCAGAGCCAGAGCACGUGUUUCAAGGUCCAUGCUCCACUCAGACUACAAUCAUGCAGACCACGAGGUCCAGGACAGAGGACCACGUCUACCUCAGUAUGCGCACCAUGAGGUCACAGGAUACACACUGGCAGCAGCUGUCCUCUCAAGCAGCACGUCCCUUUUUGACGGUGACCUAUUAAAUAAUAUGGGAGCUAUGCUGGUGCAAGCUGGGAAUCUCUUUACACUUGUUGUUUUUUUAUUUAAUGCAUUUGUACGUGUGUGCCAUGGCACUACUCAUGGGAAAGCCACAGACAACUUGCAGGAGUCAGGUUUCUCCUUCCUCCACAUGGGCUCUGGGGACUCAACCCAUGUCAUCAGGUUGGGUGACAAAAACCCUUAGUUGCUGAGUCAUCUCACUGACAAACUGGAAACCUUUUACUCAUGUAUAAAAGAGAGUAUCAACAAAGGCUCAUUUGCUUUAAAAUUUAUCCAGGUUUAAAGGCUUAAAAUGGGAAGAGGUCCCAGUCCAGAAAGGCCCAAGAGCCUGAACAGCAUAACUAUGCAGCUUAACUACUGCUCCGUAUGGAGCUCAACUAGCUUGGUCCCCACCGCUAUAAACGGAAAUGGCCGUGAGAACGCUGCCUUUUCAGUGCGACCAACGGCUGAGCUGGACCACUGAGAAGUGAGCCAGCCAAAAACUCACUAGUACAACAGGGAGCUGUGGGACACAGGAAUUUUGCAGACAUUGGCAUCUUUAGGCACACUGUAUAUAAAACUCCAAGACUCAUCACUCCUUCAGAGAAAAACAUCCUGUCUGAACUGGCUUCAGCUUUUAUUAUUAGACUUUAAGUCACGAGAAUGUGCCGCACGGAGCACCAAAUUAUCCUGCAGAAGAAAGGCUCUCAUCUCCAGGGAGGAGGCUGCUUGUUUUUCCUGCCCUUCACCAGCAUAAGCAGCCUCAUUUGGCUCUCCUAGGGACCAGAACUUUCUCUGCAGGUGGCAGCCCCAGUUUGGCCCCGGGCAGGAGUGCCUCACUCAUCCCCCCCCUGUAGCAGAGUCUGUGGUCAGUUCAGCCCCCUUGGCAGAGUUUCUCCUACAAACCCUGGAAUUCAACUUCUCAGCUGUUUUCACACUACCAACAAGGAGUUCUCCCCUCCCCCUGCUCAGUUCUAGUCCUCACACGACCCGCACAGCUAAAGGAGCGAGCGAGAAAAGGUGGGUGGAGCGGGGCACCCCCACCCCAUGCCAAUUUAUAGGAAACUAAAGCUCAGUAAGUAUUGGCAAGAAAGACUGAAGCCCACAGCUAGAUACAUCCUGGGAUCCUUUUGUCAGUAUAGCAAGCACCCAGCUUUGAGGCUUUUAUUCUUUACAUAUGGUCUAAAUGCCAUGAAAUCUCACAGCUGGCCAAACUGUAAGACAGCUUUUACUACCCAUCUGACUUUAGUGAGCCACCCUCCCUCCCAACCCUGAACGCUAGAAAAUAAGUCAAAAGAGUCACGCGGAAAGGAGUUGUUUUAAGGAUACAGAUCCCUGUCACAGAGGGAAAGUCUCCAAAGGUUCUUGUGGACAGACAGAAGGAAAUAAAGGUAAUAAAUAGUUCAGCAUUCUGCUGGGAGGUGAGGGGAGAGGAAACCAACACCCACUUAGCCUCAAAGACCAGCUUUAAGGGAAGGAGAGACAGCUCAGUGGUGGGGAGAGCUUGCUGUUCUUCUUCCAGAGGACCCAAGUUCAACUCAGAGCAUCCACGUCGGGCCCUUCAGAUUACCUGUAGCUACACUUUCAAAGGAUAGGAUACCCUCUUCUGGCCUCCUGGAAAUUCCCCCCCCACACACACACACACAUCUACUCACACAGGUACACACACAUACACAAAUAAAAAUACAUUUAAAAACCAAAAAGCUAGUUUCGUACUUUUAGGAUGUAGAAUCACAUCUGUAUAGUAGUGUACACGCAAUGCAAUGCUUCUGAACAGUCCCUCAAGACGCUCUCCGAGGGGCUGGAGAGAUGUAAGUACUAGCCAUGCAAGCAUGAGGGACUGGGUUUGGAACCCUAGUGCCCACAAAACAGGGCAUCAGGGGGCAAGCCUAUAAUCCCAGCUCUGGAGAGGGAGAGACAGGAGAUUCUCUGAGGCUUCAAUGAGAGACCUUGUCUCAAAAAUAAUAUGGGGAGGGAUAACGGAAGGUUACCAACCUCUGGCUGCCACAUGAAUGAGCAUGCAUGCAUGCGCGCGCGCACACACACACACACACACACACACACACACACAUAUCCUCUUUGGCUCUGAAAAGAAAUCUUUGAAAUUAUGAGAUUACAUGUGCUUCAAAGUAAAAGAGGUGACUAAUGGGUGGGACUGUGUAGAGCAGGGUCUGACCUGCUCACCAGAUGAGGACUCCUAGGCAACCAAGCCUGACUAGACAGUCACACAACCAACAACGACCACAGGCUGACAAUACAAGCUGCUCACUGACAGGAGAAUGCUGGCUGGCAGACACAUGG